AGAGUUUGAUCCUGGCUCAGAAUGAACGCUGGCGGCAUGGAUUAGGCAUGCAAGUCGAACGCUCUCUUCGGAGAGAGUGGCGAAAGGGUGAGUAACGCGUGAGCGAUCUGCCCCCAAGUCUGGAACAACUGUUGGAAACGACAGCUAAUACCGGAUGUGAAUACUAGAUUGCAUGAUUUAGUAUUUAAAGGUUUACCGCUUGGGGAUGAGCUCGCGUCCCAUUAUGCUUGUUGGUGAGGUAACGGCUCACCAAGGCUAUGACGGGUAGGUGGUCUGAGAGGAUGGUCACCCACACUGGGACUGAGACACUGCCCAGACUCCUGCGGGAGGCUGCAGUCGAGAAUCUUCCGCAAUGCGCGAAAGCGUGACGGAGCAAUGCCGCGUGAGGGAUGAAGGCUUUCGGGUCGUAAACCUCUGUCAGAAGGGAAAAACAUUGAUUGUACCUUCAGAGGAAGCCACGGCUAACUACGUGCCAGCAGCCGCGGUAAUACGUAGGUGGCGAGCGUUAUUCGGAUUUACUGGGCGUAAAGGGUCCGUAGGGGGAUACUUAAGUCUGAUGUGAAAUUUCAAGGCUCAACCUUGAACCUGCAUUGGAAACUGAGUGUCUAGAGUUCGGUAGAGGUAAGUGGAAUUUGUGGUGUAGCGGUGGAAUGCGUAGAUAUCACAAGGAACAUCAAAGGCGAAAGCAGCUUACUGGGCCUGAACUGACCCUGAGGGACGAAAGCUAAGGUAGCGAAAAGGAUUAGAUACCCUUGUAGUCUUAGCCGUAAACGUUGUACACUCGAUGUCGGGGGAAUUAGCCCCUUCGGUGUCUAAGCUAACGCGAUAAGUGUACCGCCUGGGAAGUACGGUCGCAAGACUAAAACUCAAAGGAAUUGACGGGGGCCCGCACAAGCGGU
rnacentral:rRNA from 1 species